rnacentral:rRNA from 1 species
UCCGGAGGGGGCUAUCGUUGAUCGGAAUUACUGGGCGUAAAGCGCACGUAGGCGGCUUUUCAAGUCAGAGGUGAAAGACCGGGGCUCAACUCCGGAAUUGCCUUUGAAACUGGAUGGCUGGAACACGGGAGAGGUGAGUGGAAUUCCGAGUGGAGAGGUGAAAUUCGUAGAUAUUCGGAGGAACACCAGUGGCGAAGGCGGCUCACUGGACCGUUGUUGACGCUGAGGUGCGAAAGCGUGGGGAGCAAACAGG